rfam:Biomphalaria glabrata isolate BB02 unplaced genomic scaffold LGTN_random_Scaffold253, whole genome shotgun sequence.
UGGUUAUGAUGAAGCUUAUUCCAUAACAUUCGCGGUUUCCACUAGAAGAACAUCAGUUCUGAGGAUAGCUCUAGCCCUUCCUUGGAUGUCUGAACCA